AUCAUGAGGCGAUUAUUAUAUAAAAAUUAAAAGUACAAGAAUAUGUGAAUCAUCAAUGUAAAUUAUAAUUGCUGUUGCGUCUUUGCUACAGUAGUUUACACAUGCUAAGUUAUUGCCCGUGAACAUCCUUCUAAUUACAGGCUUGCCACUGCUUUUUAAUGGCCUGCAGAGUGACACGCAGGCGUCCAGUUUCUUCCACGCACGUGCAAGCAUUUUUCAAAACUUCACACACAGAAUCUAAACACACGGAGCUAAAAACACUGGAAAAAAAAUCAAAAAUUAAAAAAUAAAAAAUAAAUACAAAGUACACAAAAGAAGAAGAGAGCAUAGAAGAGAACGCCAAGCUUCCGCGCGAAGCCUUCUCGCCGCCUGCAAAGACGAUCACCCACCUGCAAUAUAUUGAACUCCGCACAAGACCUGUUUGAUUGUUUGUCUGUGAUAAUAAGAUGGAUAGAUACAACAAAUCAAUAUAUGAGGUUCUGUCUGAUAAAUAUAUGUUAACGUUACGCCAAUCUCUGAUGCACUUUGUUAUUUGGAUAUAAUUUCAACAAGAUCAGUUGAUUUAUGGCAAGGACUUGGGUUGUUAUGUUCUAUCAUUCAUGUGUUUGGCAUGUACUUUGGAGGCCUGCUUAUUGAGUUCACGGCCUGGUGACAUUGCUUUUGCUUUACCGAGAGGAAAAAUUGUUGUGCACAGAGGUUUGCUUCAAAAACUCAAUUCUGAUGCAGAGCUCCUUUUUCUAAAAGGUUAGAAGGCCUACAAACUUUUGAGGUCUCAGAACUAAAAACCGACACCCAUGUAUUUGCAGUUUACGGUUUGAAUUACUUCUUUUUUAUAAUUUAAAGCAUCCAAUGAGCUUACCCACAAGAAUGUAAUAGUUUUCUUAAUUUGUAUGCUAAGUGUUCUAUAACUAAUACAGGGGAUAAAGUCUUUGAAACUGCUACACAAUUAAAGUUCUGUGUACAAAGCCAUUAGAGGAUGCAAUGAGAAAGUUUAAUGAUAUUGGAGCUCAGACUCAAGUUACAAGCCAAAGAGUGCUAGAAAGAGGAAGAAAUUCGGAGAGAAAGAGAAUAUCUCAGGAAACUCGGUUAAUAGAUUUACUUUCCCCGUUUCUCCUCACACCAAAUAACCAUGUUAUAUCGUUCCCAACACAUGUAAGUCCUACCACUUUCAGUAAUAGUCCAGUUUAUCAACUGGAGGUAAUGUCAUUUGUGACGUUCACUUUGUGUGAUUCUAUGUCUAAUAGAUUGAAAUGUUUCGCAAUUUACACCUAUAUCUGUUUCUGUGUGUUUGCAAGGUCUUAGGAAGAGUAAUGUUGUUACCAGGACAGUAAUGUGACCACUCUAACCUUAUACAACUUUACUCUGCAAUACUAUUAAUUUUAGUGUUUAAUCAAGUUUCAUGCACUACUAUUUUUGGUAGAACCACAUGAUUCAUGCUUUUGUGAGUACAUUAUAUUUAAAUACUACGUUUGAUAGAUGCUCUAGGUCAUAUACAAAAUGUUCAGUCUUUGAAGUCUUCCAAAAAUGAUAGCGAGAAAGUACUAACCAAGUUUGAUCUGUUUGAUGGGAGGUAUACUAUUGUCAUUUUAAUCAUUUCUUUUAAUAGUUCGAUUGAUUUACACUAUAUAAUUUUGACUCAUUAAUUGGAAGAUACAUUGUACCUGUAACUCUAUUUGACGAUUUUGGAGUGGAGUUUGAACAAGCUUUAAAAUGUUCCGGUGAGCCUGAGGUGUAUGUCAUUAUUUGUGCGGCAAAGAUUAUAGUGUCAACCAGCUGAGGCAGAGAAUACUUGCCAUGAAAAAUGAAGAAGUCAAAUCUCCACCACCGGAAGAGGUCAAAUAUCAAACUCUAACUGUUAAGGAGAUUCAGUCAUUGAGAUCUGAAUCCAGCGACGCACCUUCAGUCAAUCUCCAAGAUGACAACAACGACACUCCACAUACUGCAAUUUCCUCACCAAAACACGACGUAGGGUGGCUGUUGAGCCUGUUGCUUUUGAUCCGAAAGGAGAAAUUCCAGCGAAAGUCAUGCGUCAUGAUAAGAAGAAGAAGGUCGGGAGAAAGCAGAAGCAAGAUCACUAAAGCAAGAAGCAGAGAAAGCUUUAAAGCAAAGAUUAACCUGUGAAGACAGAUUAGUCAGUAUGGAUGCUUCUCUGAAGGAGUGUAUGCAGCAGUUGCGUUUGCGCGAGAAGAGCAAGAAAAAAGGAUUUACGAUGCUAUUCUGAAGACAUCAAGAGAAUAUGAAGAAAGGAUAAUGGUGUUAGAAGAAAGGUUGGCGGAAACCAGUCAAAGAAUGUUGCUUCAUCUUUGUAUAAAAUAUAUCAGAGUGGCUAAACUCUGCACUGGGACGUUCAGAUCACUGGGUGCCAUCCAUGUCAAUAACAUUCUGAGAUACUUUAAAUUUUAUGAGAAGAAUUUGGGAUGUGUUAAUAGUAGUUGCUCACUCUAACAUUAUGUUAUAUCUACAAAGAUAAGAGCAUGAGAUUGUACACAUCUGUGUAGCAACGACUUAUGAUAUUGUAUAAAUCUGUAGAGAAACAUCUUCCUGAUGUGAAAUAGAAGAAGA